rnacentral:pre_miRNA from 1 species
AAAAAGAUAAACUCUGGGUUUUUUUUUCAAUUUUAACUGUCCGUCUUAUAUGAAAUUUUUUUAUAAUUUGUAUUUUCAUUAUUGUUAGAUGAUAAAAUAUGAUUAAUAUUUUAUGCGUGACUUUUCUUUUUAAUUUUUUUAAAUAAGACAGAUGGUCAAAAUACGAAAACCAUGGUUUAUCUUUUU